UGGGGAAUAUUGGACAAUGGACGAAAGUCUGAUCCAGCGAUUCUGCGUGAAGGAUGAAGGUCUGUGGAUUGUAAACUUCUUUUUUGGUGGAAGACGAAUGACGGUACACCAAGAAUAAGGGACGGCUAACUACGUGCCAGCAGCCGCGGUAAUACGUAGGUCCCGAGCGUUAUCCGGAAUUACUGGGCAUAAAGUGUCUGUAGCCGGACAUGUAAGUCCGUUUUCAAAUACCUCGACUCAAUCGAGGGAAGGGAAUGGAUACUGCAUAUCUAGAGAUCAUUAGAGGUUAGUGGAAUUUCCGGUGAAGCGGUGAAAUGCGUUGAUAUCGGAAAGAAUGCCGAAAGCGAAAGCAGCUAACUAUAAUACAUCUGACGGUGAGAGACGAAAGCUUGGGGAGCAAACGGG
rnacentral:rRNA from 1 species